CAGCCGCCGCGGUAAUACGAAGGGUGCAAGCGUUAAUCGGAAUUACUGGGCGUAAAGCGUGCGUAGGCGGUUUGUUAAGUCUGUUGUGAAAUCCCCGGGCUCAACCUGGGAAUGGCAAUGGAUACUGGCAAGCUAGAGUGUGUCAGAGGAUGGUGGAAUUCCGCGUGUAGCAGUGAAAUGCGUAGAUAUGCGGAGGAACACCGAUGGCGAAGGCAGCCCCCUGGGCCAACACUGACGCUCAUGCACGAAAGCGUGGGGAGCAAACAGGAUUAGAUACCCCCGUAGUCCCUGUCUCUUAUAC
rnacentral:rRNA from 1 species